rnacentral:rRNA from 1 species
UUAACUUGUUGCAGUUAAAAAGCUCGUAGUUGAAUUUCUGCUAAUUCACAUUCUAUCAUUUUAUUGUUUAGUUUGUGUUUUGGCAUAUUUCGAUUAUUAUAAUUUAUUAUAUUAAUCGAAUAAUUACUUUGAGAAAAUUAGAGUGCUCAAAGCAGGCUUUUGCCUUGAAUAGUUUAGCAUGGAAUAAUAAAGUAGGACUUUAGUUCUAUUUUGUUGGUUUCGGAACUAAAGUAAUGGUUAAUAGGAACAGUUGGGGGCAUUCGUAUUUAACUGUCAGAGGUGAAAUUCUU